rnacentral:rRNA from 1 species
UGGCGCUGACACUGUGCCUGGUGCAGAGAGUGGGAGGCCGGGAAGUUGUUCAAACUUGAUCAUUUAGAGGAAGUAAAAGUUGUGUCAAGGUUUCCGUAGGUGAACCUGCGGAAGGAUCAU